CUAAAGUGUUUUUUCUUAUUCUAAAUUCUAACAAAUAAAUAAACCUGUAAAACUGUAUAAAUAAAAUCGGUCUUCGAUUUAAAAAAAAAGAUCGAUUAUACCAAAAAAUCGUUUGAUAAAAAUCACGUCGAUUUGAUAAUAAUCGAUUCGAAUCGUACAUCCCUAGUAUGGUGUGUAGUUUAAGGUUAUGUUUAAGGUUAAUCGUGGGUUAUUAAACUCGCACAAAAACAAAACAGAAAACAACAAAAAACAAUGCAAACAAUGCCAAAUAAACCUGUAAAAAAGUACUUUUAUUAUUCAAAAUGAAAUAUCAUAUAAUUCAGUUGGUAUACGAAUAUUUUUUGAUUUAUUUAUAAUGUUUGGUGUCAAAAAUAUGUGAGAAAUGAGGUAUCUACCUAAUGGUAGGAAGAAAUUAAUUAUGUAAUGGUAGGAAAAAUAAUUUCACUUUAAUUAUGUAUUAGAAAAUCAGUAAUCUUAAAUUAGGAUGCAUCAAUGGAGAAGAAGGCAAUUGUAAUCACAAUACAAUAAUAGAUCUACAAAUACCAAGCAAUACAUUAAAUCAAAAAUCUCAGUAACACUGUUGUAAUAAUGUACUCCCUGUGGUCUUAUUAAUGUCAGCUUAUUGAUAGCUCGAUUACCAGUCAAAUAGUUUCGAUGUUUUCUAUACUAUGAAGAAAAUUUGAUCUGAUUAGAUUAAUUCAGAUGUAAAUUUAUGUUAUACGGUAAGAUAUUUUUAAACAAACCAAGAAAGUUCUCUUCAGACAAGUUCUGGUCUGAAAUUGCAAAUAUUAAUGAAAAAGUUAUACAUGUAGUUUUCUAUUCAUAAAUGAUAUUAUUGAUUUUAUUCUAGGUGAA